AUUAGCUUUGCAAUAAAGGACUUCCACAAAGUCAAAUGAAAAGUCAUACAUUAAACAACCUUAAUAAAUAUUCUGUAAGCAGAAUGAAGUAUAGAAACCCCAGGUGGUCACUUGUAUCUCCUACGUUGUGUAUCUUGCUCAGCUGCCCCACAAGCUGACCUGUACACUUAUUAAAGUCUACAUUUUUAAAUGCUAGCCUGUUAACUUAAUCUUGAUUAUGAAAUGUUCCCAGAGAUGAGCUAUUAAAAGCACAUAGUAUCUAAAGAAAAAGAAAAUUUAACCAAAGUUGCAGCAGUGGAGAAUAAAUUGUUGGUACACAUGCCAUUCUAUAACAGUUAAGUGGUCAAAGAAUCUCCCACGUAAAAGGUAGAUAGUUUUUACAUGUGUUUAGCUACAAUAAAAAUGUUAAACCUGCUCACUCAAUGAACCAGACACACUUGAUGAUUUUAUAAAUCCUGUAUUCAAAAGUAACAUCUCAAUUUUUAUCAUAAAUUCUCUUUUGUAGGAAUGUAUUUCAUGGGUUCAUGGUUUCUCACACCUACUAUACUUUGAGCAGUUAAUGAUAAAGAUAGGUGCUACUUUAGUUUUGGUUAAAUAUUUGUGGGAAAGUACAAUGAAGUAUCAACUCCCUGUUCUGUUUUAAUAGUUAACUCGUGGAGCGCAGAAGGCUGAGUUACACAGUACUGUCACACCACACAGCCAGCCAGCUGCAGUCUCCUCUGGAGUUUUUCAGUUCUUUUUACAUAGUAAAAAAAAAAAAAAAAAAAAAAAAAAAAGCCUUGCUGUGUUAGGUUUUUCUGUGAUCCAGUGGUAGGCAUGAAUCAUUCAAAAUUUAAAGCUUAUAGGCUGGCAGGAUGAUUUACCAGUCACAUUGCCACCAAAUCUGAUGAGCUGAGUUUAACACCCAGGACUUCCAUGAUGAAAGAGACGUGACACCCACAGGUUCUCCUGUGACACCCACAUGUCACAGCAUGGCUUGGUGGUGGACUGCCUAAUAUCCCUGAGGCCCUGGGUUCAAUGCCGUGUGUGUGUGUGUGUGUGUGUGUGUGUGUGUGUGUGUGUGUGUGUGUACACCACAUGUAUGCAGAUGUCAUCAGAGAAGAGAAGACUCCAGUCUCCUGAGGCUGGAGAUGUAGGUGCUUGUAAACCACCUGACAUGGAUGCUGGAUGCUGAGCUCUGGUCCUCGAGAAGAGCAGCAAAGGCUCUUAGCCACUGAGCCAUCUCUCUAGCCCUGGUUGGUAAUCUUAAUUGAGAACAUUUAUCUCAAGUCCAGGGGAAGAAGAAUCUGAGGUACAUUUUGAUGGAUGGUACAGUAGCUAGAUGAUUUCACCCACUACCGAGACUUUAUACAUUUAUAUUUAUUCUUGGAGAAUUUCAUACAUGUAUACAAUGUAUUUUGCCUUAUCUGUACCUCACCCUGGUCUCCUCCCACCCCAAACUUGCCCCACAACAGAUAUGUUCCUCUCCCAGCUUCAUGUCUUUUUAAAAAUAACCCACUGAGUCCAGCUAAUAGAACAAAUACAUGAUCUUU
rnacentral:lncRNA from 1 species